AGCCCCAAAUGAAAGCAUGUGGUCACUUGUAGUGCCUAGUAACAGCCAUGGUCUUGAAAUAGAAUGAAGUUAUGGCACAGUUGUAAUUUUCAGUCUUGUUUUUAGUCCUAUUAUCCAAGACUAUUUGGUUAAGAGAGGACAGAAACAGAGCUUAGACCAGUAAACAGUUAUCUUUAAACAAAGUUACCUGAACACUUUUCCACUUAGAUUCUUUUCCUGUCAAUAAAGGUGAUUAAUGUUCUAAGUUGAGAGAACCAUAAAAGAUUUCCAAGUCCUUUGCAGAUGUAAGGUAAAUGCCUCCUGUCUACAUGACAAGAGAUCAGUAUCACCGUACAGGAUGACAACUCACUUUCUUUCCUAUCUUAAGGACCUUGAGUUCUAGUGAAAUGAUAAGUGAGGAUUGCUAUGCUAUUGGUCCUCAGUGAAGGGUACAUUUCCUGUGUUUAUUUUCAAAGGUGGGUGUUUAUCAGAUCUCAGUAAAACCUUUUCUCCUUAUACAGUGAUUUGCAGAUUCUAAAACAGUAAGACCAAAGAUUUUGUAGUUAAAAUGAAUGUCUAGUAGAAUUUUGUCUUAGAUUGACCUAUCAUUUUGAUUUGUGGUCUUUAGGAGAGCAUCAUCUGCACAUUUGUUCUUAUUGAAUCAAUGGCAAUAUGGAUAAGAGAGUCUACGUGAUUCUAUAAUGAAGCAUAGGGCUCAGCAUCAAGCCUACACAUGUGACUCUCCUGCUCUUUAUCUCUGUCUCGUCCUAGCUGGGUUUUUUGAUUGAUUGUUUGGUUUUGAGGCAUAUAACUUCAUUUUGAUGUUAAACUCGUAUUUCUAUUAAAAUAUUUUUUAUCUGAAUACAGGUUCCCCUUUCUCCCUUCAAUUUGCUCCCCACAGCCCCUUAUUAGAAAGGAACAGGCUUCUAGGAAAAAAAACAACAAAAGAAAACAAAAAUAAUAGCUAAACAAAAUAUAAAAUGAAACAAAACUGUCAUAUCAAAGUUGGAUAAGACAAGCCAAAGGAAAAACAAAAGAGCCUCAAGAGAAGGCAAAAGAAUGAAGGACCUGGUGCAAAUGUGGGUAGGCACUGUGCAUUCUGCUCCAGGCUCUGUGAAUUACAUCCUUUCUGGUUCUCUCAGUCUUCUCUCCUCUUCCCUGAGGUCUGAGGGGAAGGAUUUGGUGGAGACAUCCCAUUUACAGCUGUGCAUUCCACAGUGCUCUGCUCCUCUCUGUCUCUCUGUCUCUGUCUCUGUCUCUCUCUCUGUCUCUCUGUCUCUCUCUCUCUGUCUCUCUCUGUCUCUCUGUCUCUCUCUCUCUCUCUCUCUCUCUCUCUCUCUCUGUGUGUGUGUGUGUGUGUUAUCUUUCUAUGGAUCUCUAUACUUGUUCCCAUCUUGUCCCAGCUGCUCUGAAGAUUGUUUUUUUGUAGGUAAAAUAUUAACUUGUUGCUUGAAUUCCUUGUAAAUGGAGUUUGAAGUGCUUGAUCUAGGGCUUAGUGUCUUUUUUCAGUUUUAGAGAAUUCUUAGUGGCUAUGUCUAAAACUCCUGUUUUUUCUUCACUUCCUCGGACCCUAGUCAUGUGUCUUCUAAUCACUUAUACUCAUUUAUACAGCUUUUCUUUCUUUCCUCUUAGUGCUUCUGACUAAACCUUUUAUUUGCCAUCUGUUUUCCUAGAGUAGCCCCCCUCUUGCUAAACCAUCUAUUUUUCUUGUAUUUGUUAUAGUUCCCUUUGAUUUUUUUAAAACAUAGAUGAUUAGUAUGUGGUAAAAAAUUCCAUCUUUAUUUUGUUCAAGAAUAGUAAUUACAGCACGUGAUUUUGAUCAUUGCAACAUUCAAGCCACCUGUGAUACUCUGUGUUACUUCCCUUCUCUCUUGGUUUUGGCCAUUUGCUUCCGUUUCUAGCUAUGAUUUAUAGUAAUUUUUAAUCGGAUAUUCUAUAUUUUAUCUAAGACACUGUAGAGGACUAGAGAGGCACAGCUGAAAAGCUCACUGGUGAUCUGAAUCUCAUUCCCAGCACCCACAUGGUAGCUCACAACCAUCUGUGACUCCAGUCAAGGGGGACAUGAUGUCUUCUUUUGGCCACUGUACUGGCAUCACAUUCACAUGGUACACACACACACACACACACACACACACACACACACACACACGUCUAGGCAAAGAACUCAUCCAUAUACAUUAAAAAGCAAGAAAAGGGGGCUGGAGAGAUGGCUCAGCCAUUAAAGGCUCACAACC
rnacentral:lncRNA from 1 species